rnacentral:rRNA from 1 species
GACGAACGCUGGCGGCGUGCCUAACACAUGCAAGUCGAGCGAGCGGCGGACGGGUGAGUACUGUCUGGGAAACUGCCUGAUAGAGGGGGAUAACUACUGGAAACGGUAGCUAAUACCGCAUACCAUCAGAUGUGCCCAGAUGGGAUGAGCUAGUAGGUGGGGUAACGGCUCACCUCGGCGACGAGCCCUAGCUGGUCUGAGAGGAUGACCAGCCACACUGGAAUGGAUACACGGUCCAGACUCCUACGGGCGGCAGCAGUGGGGAAUAUUGCACAAGUGGCGAAAGCCUGACGCAGCCAUGCCGCGUGGGUGAAGAAGGCCUUCGGGUUGUAACGCACUUCCAGCGGGGAGGCGUUACCCGCAGAAGAAGCACCGGCUAACUACGUGCCAGCAGCCGCGGUAAUAC